rnacentral:rRNA from 1 species
UACGGAGGGUGCAAGCGUUAUCCGGAUUUACUGGGUUUAAAGGGUACGUAGGCGGAUUGAUAAGUCAGUGGUGAAAUCCUCCCGCUCAACGGGAGAACUGCCAUUGAAACUGUCUAUCUUGAGUGUGGUCGAGGUAAGUGGAAUGUAGCAUGUAGCGGUGAAAUGCAUAGAUAUGCUACAGAACACCAAUAGCGAAGGCAGCUUACCAGUCCAUAACUGACGCUGAUGUACGAAAGCGUGGGUAGCGAACAGG